rnacentral:rRNA from 1 species
AACGAACGCUGGCGGCAUGCCUAACACAUGCAAGUCGAACGAAGCCUUCGGGCUUAGUGGCGCACGGGUGCGUAACGCGUGGGAAUCUGCCCUUGGGUUCGGAAUAACAGUUAGAAAUGACUGCUAAUACCGAAUGAUGUCUUCGGACCAAAGAUUUAUCGCCCAAGGAUGAGCCCCGCGUCGGAUUAGCUAGUUGGUGAGGUAAAGGCUCACCAAGGCGACGAUCCGUAGCUGGUCUGAGAGGAUGAUCAGCCACACUGGGACUGAGACACGGCCCAGACUCCUACGGGAGGUAGCAGUGGGGAAUAUUGGACAAUGGGCGAAAGCCUGAUCCAGCAAUGCCGCGUGAGUGAUGAAGGCCUUAGGGUUGUAAAGCUCUUUUACCCGGGAUGAUAAUGACAGUACCGGGAGAAUAAGCCCCGGCUAACUCCGUGCCAGCAGCCGCGGUAAU